CUGCGGAGGAUCAUUACAUUCAGUAGCUUGCUACUGUUAGGGGGGUCUGUCAGCCUGUAUAGUAUCACUACUGAUGAGCAGCGCGACCCUCUGUCUGUACCCUUGUCUUUUGCGUACUCAUGUUUCCUCGGCGGGUUUACACCCGCCGGCUGGACAACUCUAUAACCUUUUUAAUUUUCAAUCAGCGUCUGAAAAACCUAAUAAUUACAACUUUCAACAACGGAUCUCUUGGUUCUGGCAUCGAUGAAGAACGCAGCGAAAUGCGAUAAGUAGUGUGAAUUGCAGAAUUCAGUGAAUCAUCGAAUCUUUGAACGCACAUUGCGCCCCUUGGUAUUCCAUGGGGCAUGCCUGUUCGAGCGUCAUUUGUACCCUCAAGCUCUGCUUGGUGUUGGGUGUUUGUCCACUCCCUGGUGUUUGGACUCGCCUUAAAGCAAUUGGCAGCCAGUGUUUUGGUAUUGAAGCGCAGCACAUUUUGCGAUUCUAGCCUGAAAUACUAGCAUCCAGCAAGUCAUUUUUCACUUUUGACCUCGGAUCAGGUAGGGAUACCCGCUGAACUUAAGCAUAUCAAUAAGCGGAGGAAAAGAAACCAACAGGGAUUGCCCUAGUAACGGCGAGUGAAGCGGCAACAGCUCAAAUUUGAAAUCUGGCUCUUUCAGGGUCCGAGUUGUAAUUUGCAGAGGGCGCUUUGGCGUUGGCAGCGGUCCAAGUUCUUUGGAACAGGACGUCACAGAGGGUGAGAAUCC
rnacentral:rRNA from 1 species